rnacentral:rRNA from 1 species
GUGGGGAAUCUUGCGCAAUGGGCGAAAGCCUGACGCAGCCAUGCCGCGUGAAUGAUGAAGGUCUUAGGAUUGUAAAAUUCUUUCACCGGGGACGAUAAUGACGGUACCCGGAGAAGAAGCUCCGGCUAACUUCGUGCCAGCAGCCGCGGUAAUACGAAGGGGGCUAGCGUUGCUCGGAAUUACUGGGCGUAAAGGGCGCGUAGGCGGACAGCUUAGUCAGAGGUGAAAGCCCAGGGCUAAACCUUGGAAUUGCCUUUGAUACUGGCUGUCUUGAGUUUGGGAGAGGUGAGUGGAACUCCGAGUGUAGAGGUGAAAUUCGUAGAUAUUCGGAAGAACACCAGUGGCGAAGGCGACUCACUGGCCCAAUACUGACGCUGAGGCGCGAAAGCGUGGGGAGCAAACAGGAUUAGAAACCCCAGUAGUCC